UAUUGUUAGUUGCCAUCAUUAAGUUGGGCACUCUAGCGAGACUGCCGGUAAUAAACCGGAGGAAGGUGGGGAUGACGUCAAAUCAUCAUGCCCCUUAUGACCUGGGCUACACACGUGCUACAAUGGUUGGUACAACGAGUCGCGAGUCGGUGACGGCAAGCAAAUCUCUUAAAGCCAAUCUCAGUUCGGAUUGUAGGCUGCAACUCGCCUACAUGAAGUCGGAAUCGCUAGUAAUCGCGGAUCAGCACGCCGCGGUGAAUACGUUCCCGGGCCUUGUACACACCGCCCGUCACACCACGAGAGUUUGUAACACCCGAAGUCGGUGAGGUAACCUUUUAGGAGCCAGCCGCCUAAGGUGGGAUAGAUGAUUGGGGUGAAGUCGUAACAAGGUAGCCGUAUCGGAAGGUGCGGCUGGAUCACCUCCUUUCUAAGGA
rnacentral:rRNA from 17 species